AUCCCUCUGUUCCUCCACCUGACUAAGAACCCUACCAUUAACCCUGUAUUCCGCAUUCUUAUUUGUUCUUCACCCAAUCACCCAAGAACAAUCACCCAAGCCUAAACCCCAUCCAACCCAGACUGAACGGGGCCUCAGCAGAUCAGCUUCAAUCAAUAUUCAUACACAGAGAUACUGGACAUUCCACCUAAUCAUAAUACAUUAACACCUACUCUGAACUAUCAGGACAACAAUUGACUUCAAAAGGGAGCAUCAGAAACACAAUGGCAACACUGAUUUGGGAGGAGGUAAUGGGGCACACAGUCUGAAUAAUUGCUAGCCCUGAUCUGGGAAAGAGAGAGAGAGAGAGCCUUUUUCAACAACAAACUCCUUCAGAAACAGUUCCCCCACAAGCUCUAGCCCCAACAAGCAGCUUUGGAACCAAAAAUCACAGAGGCCAAGCCGAGAAGCUGAAUCGGGAAGACAAAGCAAGAGCAUCAUCCCAACAAAGGACAACCGAGAGGAAAGGCUGUAAGAAGAAGCCUGUGAACUAUAGAUCUGUGAGUCUGUCUUCGGUGCUACUGCCAUAUUUAAAGAUGAUAUGAGGAAAAACUAUUUAAUACAGCCAACGAUUAAAAUCUGCAAAGUCCUGCAUGAAAGAGGGUUGGAGAAGCAUUCAAUCAAGACUUUCAAAAAUUGCUUUCCCACCUUGACCAAUGGCACUGAGAGAGAAUUGCAGACCUCUUACAACCAUCUAGGCCAAGAACAAACCGAAGAAAUUUAGGCUGGAUGUAUUCUAUAUAGCCCAGAAUUAUACCAAACCAUUAAUUACACAUUCACUGAGCUACGUUUUACAUUAGAUACAUACUAUGUAUAAAAUAGGAUGCAUAAAAUAGGCCAUUCAACCCUACAGUCCAUGUUGGUAUGUCAUUUGUG